GGACCCGCACAAGUAGUGGAGCAUGUGGUUUAAUUCGAAGAUACGCGCAGAACCUUACCAACACUUGACAUGUUCGUCGCGACUUUAAGAGAUUAAAGUUUUCGGUUCGGCCGGACGAAACACAGGUGCUGCAUGGCUGUCGUCAGCUCGUGUCGUGAGAUGUUGGUUAAGUCCCGCAACGAGCGCAACCCUCACUUUUAGUUGCCAUCAUUUAGUUGGGCACUCUGAAAGAACUGCCAGUGAUAAGCUGGAGGAAGGUGGGGAUGACGUCAAGUCCUCAUGGCCCUUACGUGUUGGGCUACACACGUGCUACAAUGUAGUGACAAUGGGUUAAUCCCAAAAAUGCUAUCUCAG
rnacentral:rRNA from 1 species